ensembl:lncRNA
UUACAAAGACAUCAAAUUUAUUUUCAAAUUUUGCUUACAUUUACUUGACAGCAUGUUUCUUCUUAGCUUUCACUACAAGAUAAUAUGUCAAAGCUUAAAAUCGGUAUUUGUAAUAUGUCACAAGUUAGUUUGGAAAGAUGAGUUUAUAUUUUGGGGAAAGUCAUAAUUUUAUAAACACUGACAUUUACAAUACUCUUUAAGUAGAUAUAUACAAUAUAACGUAAUGUUUAAAUGUAUAAAAUAGUUUUAAGUCAUUGUUAUAGAACACUGUAAAUGCAUAGUGAAAAAUUCACAAAACUGUUAACAUUGUGGGAAAACAGCAACAAGUUCAUUAAUGGUCAUGCAAUAUCUUAUAUACAAUACAACUGUGCAAGUUAACUCCAAUCUAUACAUUUAAAGGCAAUAUAAAAGACUUAUUUACAUAAAUCAGGCUAAAUAAAAUCUAAUUACAAUUUUAGAACUCAUGCUGAAACAGACAUUUUGUUGAUUUUUAAGAUAGGGUCUUACUAAGCAGUCUUGUUCCAGGCUAACCUCAAACUGUAGAGAUCCUCCUGCCUCUGCUUCUGAGUUCUGGGAUUAAAGGUGUGCACCACCACUCAGGUCUCAAUUUUAUGAUAUUAUAUAAAACAGGAAAUAUGAACUGUGAGAAAGUAUUUAACAAAUUCUUCAAAAGCUACUAGGAUCCUCCGAGACAACAAACCAGGCAUUUCCCCAGGAAGUCACAUGAAUAUAUGACAGAAUCAGCAAAGGACAAAAAUAAGUUACCUGGAUGCUGUGAAUUAAUUUCAGGUUUAAAGUUUAGUUUCAUUUAGAACCUUUUAAGUUCCUCUUGGAUGCUUUUAUUUCCUUCUGAUUUGGUGGGGUAAUAAUAAGGUAAAAGAGAUACCAGAAGCAAAGUUAUAGGAAAUGAAAGCAUGCAUAAAACUUUUUCAGAAAAGGUCAGGAAAUAAGGAUAUCACACUAUUCUGAUUUCUCUGGAUACAUUACAAAAUAUAUUGUUAUAAGAGCAUAUUAACAAACAGGAAGCUUGAGAUGCAGUUCUAGAGAUGAAGUUUCUUUGUUAAGUUUGAUAAUGCUGAUAGAGUACAUGUUCAUCACAAUGUGUGUGCUUUUCUCAGACUUCUGAGAAGCGGCCGCGUCACGUGACACCAGACUGAGUGCCUGGCUGGUAAAGAAGAACAAGGGAAAUUUGGGUGGCCACUUCCCCUACUGAUGAGAAGAAACCCACAUGGGAUGUCUGCUGGCAAACUGUGAGUGUGUGUGGGUGCCUUCUGCUGGCACCAGAGCAGAGCCAGAGCAGAGCGCAUACAGGUUCUAUCGGCUUCUCCAGCUCCUUCCGCCAGGACUCGGCAACACACCCGGGGAAGGCAGACUAAGGGCAGUAGAUGGCUUUCACUGGAAAGCCAAGGCUGCCAUUUUCUCUGUCCUGAGAAAUGAAGCGACUGCAUGUGCUUACAGUCUGCAUGUCACAGACCUCACCUACCCCAGCCUGAGGAGGAACAUUCUGUGGAGACGCCCGGGCCAAUGCUAAACCAUAAACAACUGCGGGAUGUCCUGAAUGGGCCUGCUUAAGUACUUUCAGCAAAUGACAGAAAGCUCUUAGACUCAUGGGCUGUGAGAAUGGAUGAAUAUGAGGGUUUGAGAGAAAAGGGAAGGUGAGACACAGGCUGUAAAAGUAGGAACCAAAGUAAAAUUCCUAUCUACUGAUUUCUAGCUGCUGCACUCCCCACCUCCCAUGAAUGAUCUAAGCCAUACUGAGUUCUGGCUAGGAUGGGAAAGAAUGAAGUUCAGAUGUGCAGGCCUGUGAUAGUAGGAGCUGCAGUACCCCUGGCUGGAGUGGCAAUAAAUAACGGAGUGGUGGUAAGGGAGGGAGAACACUGUCUGCAUUCUCCAACAACCCUCUCAGAACACAGGCACAAUCUAGACUCAGAAUUUUAAAGGGUGUGUAACAAACGUUUUACUUAAUUUUAUUAGGAAAAAUAACCCAAUUUUUAAAUUAAAAGAAUAUUUUAAUUAAAAUGUGAAUACUGUCAUGUUAUAAAACACAAUUAUAAAACAUAAUUUUAAAUUCUCUAAGGAAGGGGUCCAAAUGAGCAAAAGUGCAUGGUGCCUAAAACCUCAUGAGUGUUGAGCAUGUGGCCAAACCAACUCUAAGAGUGGGAGUUCUAGGCCAUUUAAAUGGACAGGGAAAAAAUGGCCAAGGUUAAACGACAGCCAUGGAGCUUCACCUUACUGGUCUUGUUUCACUGAUUUGGCUGUCUUGAGUAUUAAUUUUGAAGAACAAUAAGUCUACACUUGAUCUUAGUCAAAAGGCUGAGACGCGAUAACAGUAAGUCUAAUAUAGAAGUAUUAUUAAGUUUCCUUAGCCAUGUCAGAAUAAGAAACAAAAUUUAAGCUCAUUUUACAGCUGUAUGCAUCAAUAAAAACAGAAUUUAGGACGAAGAGACUUGGGCAUCUCUGGUCCUCCACUUCUGCAAACACUGUUGAAAUGGGCCUUUCUCUCUCUCUCUCUCUCUCUCUCUCUCUCCCUCCCUCUCUC